rnacentral:pre_miRNA from 1 species
GUUUUUACUAUUUUAGGGACUGAUGUCAUUUUUAACGCGUCUCCUAUUUUUAGGGACC